UCAGACGAUGCGUCAUGCAUAUCAAUAAGCGGAGGAAAAGAAACUAACAAGGAUUCCCUAGUAACGGCGAGUGAAGCGGGAAGAGCUCAAAUUUGAAAUCUUCAAGGUUUUACCUUGACGAAUUGUAGUUUAAAGAAGUGUUUUCUGUUAGAGAGUUGGUAAAAGUUCUUUGGAAUAGGACAUCAUAGAGGGUGAGAAUCCCGUAUUUGACCAUUCUUUUCUAGCUGUGUGAUACACUUUCAAAGAGUCGGAUUGUUUGGGAAUGCAGUCCAAAAUGGGUGGUAAAUUUCAUCUAAAGCUAAAUAUUGGCGAGAGACCGAUAGCGAACAAGUACCGUGAGGGAAGAUGAAAAGAACUUUGAAAAGAGAGUUAAACAGUACGUGAAAUUGUCAAAAGGGAAGCGUUUGACACCAGUGUUGUUUUCUCGAAAAUCAAUUAGAAAGAGUGGAUUCAUGCUAGUUGUAUUGACCUUAUCAGCUUGCUCAAUCUUGUUUCUGGUUCUUUUUUAAUGCACUUUUCGUUUAACAAGUCAACAUCAGUUUCCUUUGCUGUAAAAGGGUCAUAGGAAGGUGGCUUCAUCUUCGGAUGAAGUGUUUAUAGCCUUUGAUCUCUGCAAUCGGAGAGAUUGAGGUCUGCAGCGUAGAUCCUUCGGGGUUAGAUACAUUCGUGCUAAGUUAUAGCCUUUUAUAGACAACUUGUUGACUAUGAUCGGUCUUGUAAUUUACUCGCGAGUGCUAUUUUACCUACGCUUAGGAUGUUGAUAUGCAUGACUGAUAU
rnacentral:rRNA from 1 species